rnacentral:rRNA from 4 species
UUAAAUUGAAGAGUUUGAUCAUGGCUCAGAUUGAACGCUGGCGGCAGGCCUAACACAUGCAAGUCGAACGGUAACAGGAAGCAGCUUGCUGCUUUGCUGACGAGUGGCGGACGGGUGAGUAAUGUCUGGGAAACUGCCUGAUGGAGGGGGAUAACUACUGGAAACGGUGGCUAAUACCGCAUAACGUCGCAAGACCAAAGAGGGGGACCUUCGGGCCUCUUGCCAUCAGAUGUGCCCAGAUGGGAUUAGCUUGUUGGUGAGGUAACGGCUCACCAAGGCGACGAUCCCUAGCUGGUCUGAGAGGAUGACCAGCCACACUGGAACUGAGACACGGUCCAGACUCCUACGGGAGGCAGCAGUGGGGAAUAUUGCACAAUGGGCGCAAGCCUGAUGCAGCCAUGCCGCGUGUAUGAAGAAGGCCUUCGGGUUGUAAAGUACUUUCAGCGGGGAGGAAGGUGUUGUGGUUAAUAACCGCAGCAAUUGACGUUACCCGCAGAAGAAGCACCGGCUAACUCCGUGCCAGCAGCCGCGGUAAUACGGAGGGUGCAAGCGUUAAUCGGAAUUACUGGGCGUAAAGCGCACGCAGGCGGUCUGUCAAGUCGGAUGUGAAAUCCCCGGGCUCAACCUGGGAACUGCAUUCGAAACUGGCAGGCUUGAGUCUUGUAGAGGGGGGUAGAAUUCCAGGUGUAGCGGUGAAAUGCGUAGAGAUCUGGAGGAAUACCGGUGGCGAAGGCGGCCCCCUGGACAAAGACUGACGCUCAGGUGCGAAAGCGUGGGGAGCAAACAGGAUUAGAUACCCUGGUAGUCCACGCCGUAAACGAUGUCUACUUGGAGGUUGUGCCCUUGAGGCGUGGCUUCCGGAGCUAACGCGUUAAGUAGACCGCCUGGGGAGUACGGCCGCAAGGUUAAAACUCAAAUGAAUUGACGGGGGCCCGCACAAGCGGUGGAGCAUGUGGUUUAAUUCGAUGCAACGCGAAGAACCUUACCUGGUCUUGACAUCCACAGAACUUUCCAGAGAUGGAUUGGUGCCUUCGGGAACUGUGAGACAGGUGCUGCAUGGCUGUCGUCAGCUCGUGUUGUGAAAUGUUGGGUUAAGUCCCGCAACGAGCGCAACCCUUAUCCUUUGUUGCCAGCGGUCCGGCCGGGAACUCAAAGGAGACUGCCAGUGAUAAACUGGAGGAAGGUGGGGAUGACGUCAAGUCAUCAUGGCCCUUACGACCAGGGCUACACACGUGCUACAAUGGCAUAUACAAAGAGAAGCGACCUCGCGAGAGCAAGCGGACCUCAUAAAGUAUGUCGUAGUCCGGAUUGGAGUCUGCAACUCGACUCCAUGAAGUCGGAAUCGCUAGUAAUCGUGGAUCAGAAUGCCACGGUGAAUACGUUCCCGGGCCUUGUACACACCGCCCGUCACACCAUGGGAGUGGGUUGCAAAAGAAGUAGGUAGCUUAACCUUCGGGAGGGCGCUUACCACUUUGUGAUUCAUGACUGGGGUGAAGUCGUAACAAGGUAACCGUAGGGGAACCUGCGGUUGGAUCACCUCCUUACCUUAAAGAAGC